rnacentral:misc_RNA from 1 species
GCAAACCUUGGUCAUUUAGAGGAAGUAAAAGUCGUAACAAGGUUUCCGUAGGUGAACCUGCGGAAGGAUCAUUACCGAGUUCGGGGCUCUGCCCCAACUCCCACCCUUGUUUACCAAGCGUUGCUUCGGCGAGACGUUGGAAGCAACCAUCGGCGAUUUACCAAAGAACCGAUGCGCGCUCGCCGGACUCCAAUACUCUGAGACUAUGUACCGUCAGAUGAAACAAGCAAUUAAUAAAAACUUUCAACAACGGAUCUCUUGGUUUUGGCAUCGAUGAAGAACGCAGC